GGAAGGGACCCACAAAGGCAAGUGCCUAGGACCCACACAAAUCACAGUGUGGCUCUUGCUCCAACCAUGGGAGAAGCCACAGAAGAGCAUUCCAGGCAGAGGGCACGGCAAGUGCAAAGGUUCUGAGGUGGGAAUGAGCUGGACAUGUUUGAGAAACAGCAAGAAGGACCUCAAGUGAGCCCACAUUGGCAGUGACAAUCAGAAUGUCAAAAUGUCUCAGAGGAUUUCUAGGAAAUCUGUGGCACUUCACGAAGAGGCUGCCCCGGGUGAGAGACCAGCCAGAGUGAAUCGUUAAUACACUUCCCAGGAAGGGGGAUUCUUCUGAAAUGCUAAUACAAUCAACUGCAAGGCAAACUUCAAGCUUCUUUUUCAGUGAUCAGAGAGGCCCUCCCAGAGCAAGGAUGCUCUCCACUGUGCAAGCUAAAGGCCCUACUUUCUCACCCAGCCUUUUCUGGGGAGGAGAAACACAUCCUCACCACAUUGCAGCUGCCCUGCGAGGGCUGCAGGUAUUGUGUGUCCCCACCAGCCAGGGCAGUUCCCAGACAGACUCUGGCUGCCUGGACCCAGGUCUGCUCCAAGGAAGCAGCACGUUUCUGGAGGAGGCUUAGCCAAGAAACCAUUACGGAGUGAGAGAGGAGUUAUCUGGAUAAAUGCGGAACUGCCCAACUCCUAGCAUUUGUUCCUGGGACCCAGGCUGUAACAUCCUCUGGAGCCAAACUGCCUCUGUUCAAACCCUUGUCCCCGCACUCCACCUCCUAGCUGUGUGGCACUGUGUGCAUUACUUAACUUUGCAUGCCUUACUUUUUCCAUUUGUAAAAUGCAUAUAAUAAUAAAUCCUACCUCCUAGGGUUGUGUGAGGAUUUAAUGAUUUAAUAAAUAAAAAACACUUAGAACAAUUCCUGGCACAUGGAAAGCAUGUAUAAAAUGUUAAGUAUUAUUAUUCAUUCUUUCAUACAUUCCCUCAUUCAUGCAUUUAUUAGUCUUUCCACUCAUCCA
rnacentral:lncRNA from 1 species